GUGAGAACAGAUUCUGAGCCACAAUCAACCAAACCCUGCACGCUGCCCUACCCGAGUCCCAUUAUACGCACAUGGAACUGUCUUCAAUUCAGCAACCUGUACUCAGCAAAACCAAACCAGUUCAUUGAAGAUGACGAAGCCACAGGAACUGCUGCUACUACUGAAGCUUGAUGCCUACAGCUGUAAUGGAAGGAAGGGCUAAUUUUCAGUUAGAAAUUCUGGAAGAAGCUCCUCUCUCUGGUCUCUACUGCUGUUUUGUCUCCUGUUAGCGUGAUUGUCACUGUUGCCAGGGGCAGUCAGUGCCAGCUUACUGCAAUUAACUAAGAACUGCAAACUGCAAGGGGCUGAGAGGCCACUGAGGAGGAGAAUUGGGCCCAGAUGAUGAAGAUCCAGAGGAAAUUCAAGUGGU
rnacentral:lncRNA from 1 species